rnacentral:rRNA from 1 species
GACGAACGCUGGCGGCGUGCUUAACACAUGCAAGUCGAGCGAGACCCCGCUUUCGGGUGGGUGUUCUAGCGGCGAACGGGUGAGUAACACGUGGGCACCCUGCCCUCAGCUCUGGGAUAACUCCAAGAGAUUGGGGCUAAUACCGGAUAUGACCGCUGACCGCCUGGUCUGGUGGUGGAAAGAUUUAUCGGCUGGGGAUGGGCCCGCGGCCUAUCAGCUUGUUGGUGGGGUAGUGGCCUACCAAGGCGACGACGGGUAGCCGGCCUGAGAGGGUGACCGGCCACACUGGGACUGAGACACGGCCCAGACUCCUACGGGAGGCGGCAGUGGGGAAUAUUGCGCAAUGGGCGAAAGCCUGACGCAGCGACGCCGCGUGGGGGAUGACGGCCUUCGGGUUGUAAACCUCUUUCAGCAGGGACGAAGCGAAAGUGACGGUACCUGCAGAAGAAGCACCGGCCAACUACGUGCCAGCCGCCGCCGUAA